rnacentral:rRNA from 1 species
GACGAACGCUGGCGGCGUGCCUAACACAUGCAAGUCAAGGGGAAACGGGUAGCAAUAUCCGGAGUACACUGGCGCACGGGUGAGUAACGCGUAGGUAACCUGCCCAUAGGACGGGGAUAAUUCAGCGAAAGCUGGACUAAUACCCGAUGUUGAGACGUCAUCACAUGGUGGUGUCUUGAAAUGCCCGCAAGGGUGCCGAUGGAUGGGCCUGCGUCCCAUUAGGUAGUUGGUAGGGUAACGGCCUACCAAGCCUGCGAUGGGUAGCUGGUCUGAGAGGAUGAUCAGCCACACUGGAACUGAGACACGGUCCAGACUCCUACGGGUGGCAG